CCUACGGGAGGCAGCAGUGAGGAAUAUUGGUCAAUGGGCGCAAGCCUGAACCAGCCAAGUAGCGUGAGGGAUGACUGCCCUACGGAUUGUAAACUUCUUUUAUAAGGGAAUAAAGUGUGGGACGUGUCCCUUUUUGUAUGUACUUUAUGAAUAAGGAUCGGCUAACUCCGUGCCAGCAGCCGCGGUAAUACGGAGGAUCCGAGCGUUAUCCGGAUUUAUUGGGUUUAAAGGGUGCGUAGAUGGGUUGUUAAGUCAGUUGUGAAAGUUUGUGGCUCAACCGUAAAAUUGCAGUUGAUACUGGGAGUCUUGAGUAUAGUUGAGGCAGGCGGAAUUCGUGGUGGAGCGGUGAAAUGCUUAGAUAUCACGAAGAACCCCGAUUGCGAAGGCAGCUUACUAAACCGUCACUGACAUUGAUGCACGAAAGCGUGGGGAUCGAACAGGAUUAGAUACCCGAGUAGUC
rnacentral:rRNA from 1 species